GCACAUUUUUAUCUGCUGACUGACUGGAAUAACGAGUCCGUCUCAUCGCCAAACUUCUCAACGAAAAAACGCUCCCAGAAUCACAGAUCAAGAGCUGGCUGCGUCCCACAGGCCCCACGGACUUGUGCGCUGCGAAAAUCAUUCCUCUUUUACUAUAACUUCAAGUCCAGCAAAUAAAAUAAUGACUCCAACGAAAUAACAUAACCCAAUGUGUAUCUACCAUAAAUUUACAGUGAAAACAAGUAAAUAUGCAUCUGGACACUUGAACAGUUUUGGGAAAAGUAAAAAAGAAGAAAUCCCAAGACAGUCAGGAGAAACUAUAUCCUUUACUCGUCUUGUGUAAUUCUUCUGGCGAGAAAAAAGUUCGAAAAUCGUUUUUUUUAUUCCCAAGCGAUUCUGAUUUUACUUGAAAGCUGAAGGAGUCAAGAAAAUUAAACCGAGUUGGGUGGUUUAGUUAAUUGGAAGGAAGUUUUAUGACUACCGCCUGUUUAUAUAACUGCUGGACUGGAUAUGGUCAUGAUGAUGGUCGGGGAAACAAUCUGGAUCAGGAUCAGAUGAUUUUGUAUUAUUCAUGCUACCGUACAUAUAAAUUUAACAAGGCCAAUUGCCUAAUAAUAACCCAGUACUCUAGCAAAACUGCUUGGUAAAUAAAAUAAACCCAACAAUGAUA